ACACCUACGGGUGGCAGCAGUAACGAAUCUUCCCCAAUGCACGAAAGUGUGAGGGAGCGACGCCGCGUGUGGGACGAAGUCCUUCGGGAUGUAAACCACUGUCAGGGGAUACCAAGUUCUGAGGAUCCCCAGAGGAAGAGGCGGCUAACUCUGUGCCAGCAGCCGCGGUAAGACAGAGGCCUCAAGCGUUAGGCGGAAUCACUGGGCUUAAAGCGUGUGUAGGCGGGUCGUUAAGUACCUUGUGAAAUCCCACGGCUCACCCGUGGAGCUGCUGGGUAUACUGGCGAUCUUGGGCCAACUAGGGGCAACUGGAACAAACGGUGGAGCGGUGAAAUGCGUAGAUAUCGUUUGGAACGCCAAAGGUGAAAACAGGUUGCUGGGGUUGUGCCGACGCUGAGACACGAAGGCCAA
rnacentral:rRNA from 1 species